AAAGUCGUAACAAGGUAACCGUAGGUGAACCUGCGGUUGGAUCAUUAACUAUUUUAGUCUUUAGAAGACUACUGGAUUUUAUCCAGUCAACCAAUGUGAAAUGGAGCGUCAAGUGGGGUACGAGAAAUCUUGCCCCCUUUAAACUUUAAAAAUUGACUGAAUCAGAGACAAUGAGAAACAACUUUUGACAACGGAUCUCUUGGCUCUC
rnacentral:misc_RNA from 1 species